AGCGAACGCUGGCGGCAGGCCUAACACAUGCAAGUCGAACGAACCCUUCGGGGUUAGUGGCGGACGGGUGAGUAACACGUGGGAACGUGCCUUUAGGUUCGGAAUAACUCAGGGAAACUUGUGCUAAUCCCGAAUGUGCCCUUCGGGGGAAAGAUUUAUCGCCUUUAGAGCGGCCCGCGUCUGAUUAGCUAGGUGGUGAGGUAAUGGCUCACCAAGGCUACGAUCAGUAGCUGGUCGGAGAGGAUGACCAGCAACAUUGGGACUGAGAAACGGCCCAAACUCCUGCGGGGGGCAGCAGUGGGGAAGCGUGCGCAAUGGGCGAGAGCCUGACGCAGCCAUUCCGCGUGGAUGAUGAAGGUCUUAGGAUUGUAAAAUCCUUUCACCGGUGAAGAUAGUGACUGUAGCCGGAGAAGAAGCCCCGGCUAACUUCGUGCCAGCCGCCGCAGUAACAC
rnacentral:rRNA from 1 species